AUUGAACGCUGGCGGCAUGCCUUACACAUGCAAGUCGAACGGCAGCAUGAUCUAGCUUGCUAGAUUGAUGGCGAGUGGCGAACGGGUGAGUAAUACAUCGGAACGUGCCCUGUAGUGGGGGAUAACUAGUCGAAAGAUUAGCUAAUACCGCAUACGACCUGGGGGUGAAAGUGGGGGACCGCAAGGCCUCAUGCUAUAGGAGCGGCCGAUGUCUGAUUAGCUAGUUGGUGAGGUAAAGGCUCACCAAGGCGACGAUCAGUAGCUGGUCUGAGAGAACGAUCAGCCACACUGGGACUGAGACACGGCCCAGACUCCUACGGGAGGCAGAAGUGGGGAAUUUUGGACAAUGGGGGCAACCCUGAUCCAGCAAUGCCGCGUGUGUGAAGAAGGCCUUCGGGUAGUAAAGCACUUUUGUCCGGAAAGAAAUCGCACUUACUAAUAUUAGGUGUGGAUGACGGUACCGGAAGAAUAAGGACCGGCUAACUACGUGCCAGCCGCCGCAGUAAGAC
rnacentral:rRNA from 1 species